UACGUAGGGUGCGAGCGUUGUCCGGAAUUAUUGGGCGUAAAGGGCUCGUAGGCGGUUUGUCGCGUCGGGAGUGAAACUCAGGGCUUAACUCUGAGCCUGCUUCCGAUACGGGCAGACUAGAGGUAUGCAGGGGAGAACGGAAUUCCUGGUGUAGCGGUGAAAUGCGCAGAUAUCAGGAGGAACACCGGUGGCGAAGGCGGUUCUCUGGGCAUGACCUGACGCUGAGGAGCGAAAGUGUGGGGAGCGAACAGG
rnacentral:rRNA from 1 species